rnacentral:rRNA from 1 species
AUUGAACGCUGGCGGCAUGCUUUACACAUGCAAGUCGAACGGUAACAGGCCGCAAGGUGCUGACGAGUGGCGCACGGGUGCGUAAUGCAACGGAACGUGCCCAGUCGUGGGGGAUAACUACUCGCAAGAGUAGCUAAUACCGCAUACGAUCUAUGGAUGAAAGCGGGGGACCGUAAAGCCUCGCGCGAUUGGAGCGGCCGAUGUCAGAUUAGGUAGUUGGUGGGGUAAAGGCUCACCAAGCCAACGAUCUGUAGCUGGUCUGAGAGGACGACCAGCCACACUGGAACUGAGACACGGCCCAGACUCCUACGGGAGGCAGCAGUGGGGAAUUUUGGACAAAGGGCGCAAGCCUGAUCCAGCAAUGCCGCGUGCAGGAAGAAGGCCUUCGGGUUGUAAACUGCUUUUGUACGGAACGAAACGGCUCUGGUUAAUACCCGGGGCUAAUGACGGUACCGUAAGAAUAAGCACCGGCUAACUACGUG